CUUGCUUCUCUGAUGUUAGCGGCGGACGGGUGAGUAACACGUGGAUAACCUACCUAUAAGACUGGGAUAACUUCGGGAAACCGGAGCUAAUACCGGAUAAUAUUUUGAACCGCAUGGUUCAAAAGUGAAAGACGGUCUUGCUGUCACUUAUAGAUGGAUCCGCGCUGCAUUAGCUAGUUGGUAAGGUAACGGCUUACCAAGGCAACGAUGCAUAGCCGACCUGAGAGGGUGAUCGGCCACACUGGAACUGAGACACGGUCCAGACUCCUACGGGAGGCAGCAGUAGGGAAUCUUCCGCAAUGGGCGAAAGCCUGACGGAGCAACGCCGCGUGAGUGAUGAAGGUCUUCGGAUCGUAAAACUCUGUUAUUAGGGAAGAACAUAUGUGUAAGUAACUGUGCACAUCUUGACGGUACCUAAUCAGAAAGCCACGGCUAACUACGUGCCAGCAGCCGCGGUAAUACGUAGGUGGCAAGCGUUAUCCGGAAUUAUUGGGCGUAAAGCGCGCGUAGGCGGUUUUUUAAGUCUGAUGUGAAAGCCCACGGCUCAACCGUGGAGGGUCAUUGGAAACUGGAAAACUUGAGUGCAGAAGAGGAAAGUGGAAUUCCAUGUGUAGCGGUGAAAUGCGCAGAGAUAUGGAGGAACACCAGUGGCGAAGGCGACUUUCUGGUCUGUAACUGACGCUGAUGUGCGAAAGCGUGGGGAUCAAACAGGAUUAGAUACCCUGGUAGUCCACGCCGUAAACGAUGAGUGCUAAGUGUUAGGGGGUUUCCGCCCCUUAGUGCUGCAGCUAACGCAUUAAGCACUCCGCCUGGGGAGUACGACCGCAAGGUUGAAACUCAAAGGAAUUGACGGGGACCCGCACAAGCGGUGGAGCAUGUGGUUUAAUUCGAAGCAACGCGAAGAACCUUACCAAAUCUUGACAUCCUUUGACAACUCUAGAGAUAGAGCCUUCCCCUUCGGGGGACAAAGUGACAGGUGGUGCAUGGUUGUCGUCAGCUCGUGUCGUGAGAUGUUGGGUUAAGUCCCGCAACGAGCGCAACCCUUAAGCUUAGUUGCCAUCAUUAAGUUGGGCACUCUAAGUUGACUGCCGGUGACAAACCGGAGGAAGGUGGGGAUGACGUCAAAUCAUCAUGCCCCUUAUGAUUUGGGCUACACACGUGCUACAAUGGACAAUACAAAGGGCAGCGAAACCGCGAGGUCAAGCAAAUCCCAUAAAGUUGUUCUCAGUUCGGAUUGUAGUCUGCAACUCGACUACAUGAAGCUGGAAUCGCUAGUAAUCGUAGAUCAGCAUGCUACGGUGAAUACGUUCCCGGGUCUUGUACACACCGCCCGUCACACCACGAGAGUUUGUAACACCCGAAGCCGGUGGAGUAACCUUUUAGGAGCUAGCCGUCGAAGGUGGGACAAAUGAUUGGGGUGAAGUCGUAACAAGGUAGCCGUAUCGGAAGGUGCGGCUGGAUCACCUCCUUU
rnacentral:rRNA from 1 species